rnacentral:rRNA from 1 species
AGGACGAACGCUGGCGGCGUGCUUAACACAUGCAAGUCGAACGGUGAAGCCUUUCGGGGUGGAUCAGUGGCGAACGGGUGAGUAACACGUGGGCAAUCUGCCCUGCAUUCUGGGACAAGCCUUGGAAACGAGGUCUAAUACCGGAUACGACGCAUCCCCGCAUGGGGUGUGCGUGGAAAGCUCCGGCGAUGCAGGAUGAGCCCGCGGCCUAUCAGCUUGUUGGUGGGGUGAUGGCCUACCAAGGCGACGACGGGUAGCCGGCCUGAGAGGGCGACCGGCCACACUGGGACUGAGACACGGCCCAGACUCCUACGGGAGGCAGCAGUGGGGAAUUUUGCGCAAUGGGGGAAACCCUGACGCAGCAACGCCGCGUGGAGGAUGAAGCCCCUUGGGGUGUAAACUCCUUUCGAUCGGGACGAUUAUGACGGUACCGGAUGAAGAAGCACCGGCUAACUCUGUGCCAGUAGCCGC